rnacentral:piRNA from 1 species
UCCUGUAUGUCUCAGGCCUGGUA